AACAUGUUUACCUUUCCUUUUCGUAAGCAAUGUUUCUUACUAUGUCCAAUGUCUUUACUCAAAAUUGCGCAAUUAUCUGUUGACCAAAAUACCAUUUUCUAAUCGUAGUAGAUUCUAUAUGUUUUAUGUACAUUUUGUUGUAGGUUCUCCAAGACACAUGGGCUUGAAGAUUUGAAAUGGUUGUAACUUUGAAACCAGUGAUGUACAUUCGAUGUGGGCUUGACGCUGUAAAACCUUACGUGUGAUCUACCUGCUGACAAACAUUGAUGCAGUUGCAGCAGUAGCAGGGGAAACCGGGGGAUUCUACCUGGUUGAUUAUCCACAGCUGGGAUAUACCAUCACAAGGACUGUAGCGCCAUACAGCAGGAAUUAUACUGAUAUAAAUCCGUCUGUAAUGGUAACGGCGGGUGUGGAAACCAAGGUUGUCAUAAUCCACGUCUUCGGUAAGGACAUCAGUACUUACGGAUACAGUGUAAAUGGCAAGUGUUCUCCCCUCCCGAUAUCGGCCCUGGGCUCCAGGUAUGUAGUGUCCACCUGCCUGGGUUCCAUGGACCACGUGGUGUUAGUGAUUGCUACAUACAACCAGAAGACGGACGUGGACAUAACGCUGAUGCUGGAGGGGAACGUCACCUUUGACAACAUGACAUACAACGACGGAGACACGAUUCACGUGAGUCUAGAUGAAUAUCAGACCUUCACAUUGAAGAGCGCCUAUGACCUGACUGGAACUGUUAUCAACACAACACGCGCUGUAGCUGUGUUCAGUGGGGGAAUGGAAGGAGGUUAUGUCAGAGCCAUUGCACAACUAUUACCUGUACGACAUCAUGGUACAGAGUAUGUUCUGUCUACACGUGACCAUCACUAUAUAAAGGUCUCUACAUACCAGCUACAAGUUGUAAAUGACCAGAUCGACACUGAAAUUAGGUUGAACAAUGGAUCUACAUUCACUUUUGAUGACAACCGUGUGUAUCGACAAAACCUGUAUUAUAACGAGACACUGUAUUUUAAUACCACAAGACCUGUCAUUGCAACCCUGUGUACAAUCACCACAGACAUAAAUCAUCAAGGGUUUGUUGUUGUAACUCCAGUUGAGUAUUUUAUUAACAAUGCACAGAUAUAUCAUACAUACUGUAUAAACAUAUUGACUAAACAACACGUGACAGAUAUUGAAGUAUUUAGUGGUGACAUGACCCCCUGCUACAGUGGACUGGGUGGACAUCCCUGGCAGUGAUUACAAAGCGGGAACAACUUGUUCUUACAACAGUUACUUUUUCCGCUCUACCAACAGAUUCGCUGUGUAUGCGAUUCUCUACGACAUUACUAAUGGAGGCUACCAUUUCCCAGCUGAUCCACCAACCACACGCCCUGAUUCAGGUCUCCAGGACAAGUCGCGCUUGAAAAGUCAAAACUUGGAAUUCUGUGAUACACAUCCCAUGUGGACUUACAAGAAUAUGAUUGUUUAUCCAUUGAUAUUGAUUGUUUCAUUUAAGAGUAUAAGAUUAAAACAUUUCUAUGUGA